AAAAGAGAGAUAAUUUCACAAGAUUGUGCGUGUGGAUGACACGAGACAUUGUGUCAACCGAAGAGAUGCAGAAAUUGGGGAGGAGGCGGUCAGAGAUUAAAG
ensembl:ncRNA Y41C4A.24 ncRNA